rnacentral:misc_RNA from 1 species
GAUGAAGAACGCAGCGAAAUGCGAUACGUAAUGUGAAUUGCAGAUUUCAGUGAAUCAUCGAAUCUUUGAACGCACAUUGCGCCCGCCAGUAUUCUGGCGGGCAUGCCUGUCCGAGCGUCAUUUCAACCAUCAAGCCCCGGGCUUGUGUUGGGGACCUGCGUCCGACGCAGGCCCUGAAAACCAGUGGCGGGCUCGCUGUCCACACCGAGCGUAGUAACUAACCUCGCUAUGGAGUGGCGCGGGCGCCUGCCGUAAAACCCCCAAUUUCACAAGGUUGACCUCGGAUCAGGUAGGAAUACCCGCUGAACUUAAGCAUAUCAAUAAGCGGAGGA